CGACGUUAGCUCUGAUGAGCUUAUUCACUUCGUCUUCAAUGACUUUUAGGCGUUCAAGGGCGAACUUCCUUCGCUUUUGGCGAACUGGAGAAUGUUUCGGGUUGGUGAACAGCUUAUGCAUGGCGAUUUCAGGAUCAAUGCCAGGAAUGUCUCUUUGUGACCAGGCGAAUACGUCAGAGUUAUCUUUCAAGAAGUUUAUUAAGGCAAAAUGAAACUCAUCGGUAAGUUCCGUGCCGAUCAUGAUAUGGCGAUUAGGAUAUUCUGGAUGUAUGGAGAUAGGGACGAUUUCUUCAAG
rnacentral:lncRNA from 1 species